ACACCUGACAUACAAGGGUUUAUAUAACAUACAGUAGAAGUACUGUAUGUUAUAUAAACCCUUGUAUGUCAGGUGU